rnacentral:piRNA from 1 species
UCUCUGUCGAGGUGCAUUUGGCUCUAACC